rnacentral:rRNA from 1 species
UACGUAGGUGGCGAGCGUUGUCCGGAUUUACUGGGCGUAAAGAGCGCGCAGGCGGUCGUUCAAGUCGCGUGUGAAAGCCCCCGGCUCAACUGGGGAGGGUCACGCGAUACUGAUCGACUCGAAGGCAGGAGAGGGAAGUGGGAUUCCCGGUGUAGUGGUGAAAUGCGUAGAUAUCGGGAGGAACACCAGUGGCGAAGGCGGUGGUCUGGGCCGGCACUGGA